UUCAUUCAUUCAUUCAUCC
rnacentral:piRNA from 1 species